rnacentral:rRNA from 1 species
AGUCACCUACGGGAGGCAGCAGUGGGGAAUAUUGCGCAAUGGGCGAAAGCCUGACGCAGCGACGCCGCGUGAGGGAUGAAGGUUUUCGGAUUGUAAACUCCUUUUGUUAGAGAAGAUAAUGACGGUAUCUAACGAAUAAGCACCGGCUAACUCCGUGCCAGCAGCCGCGGUAAUACGGAGGGUGCAAGCGUUACUCGGAAUCACUGGGCGUAAAGAGCGCGUAGGCGGGAUAGCAAGUCAGAUGUGAAAUCCUAUGGCUUAACCAUAGAACUGCAUUUGAAACUGAUAUUCUAGAGUAUGGGAGG